CGCGACUCCAUGUCAGACGGGAUCACCCGCUGAGUUUAAGCAUAUCAAUAAGCAAAGGAAAAGAAACUUACCAGGAUUCCCCUAGUAACGGCAAGCGAACAGGAAAGAGCCCAGCUUGAGAAUCGAGUGCCCCUGGUGAUCAAAUUGUAGUCUGGAGAAGUGUCCUCAUCAGUAGACCAAGCCUAAGUCCCCUGGAAAGGGGCACCGAAGAGGGUGAGAGCCCCGUUGUGCCCGGACCCUAUCGCACCAUGAGGCGCUGUCUGUGAGUCGGGUUGUUCAAGAAUGCAACCCCAAUCGGGUGGUAAAUUUCAUCCAAGGCUGAAUACGGGUGAGAGAUCGAAGUGAACAAGUACCGUGAGGGAAAGAUGAAAAGGACUUUGAAAAGAGAGUCAAAGAGUGCUUGAAAUUGUCGGGAGGGAAGUGGAUGGGGGCCGGUGAUGCCCUCGGUGGGAUGUGGAACGGUGAGAGCUGAUCCGUCGAUCGGCUCGGGCCGUGGACUGAUGCAGGUCUCGAUGGAGGCCCACGCUCAGGCUUUCGAUGUGCACGCAGAGAUGUCGUCAUCACCAUUGUGGAAUGUAGCAGGCAUCAUCUUCGUAUGCCUUGGCACCCGUGUGCUCCCGAUGUCGGCCUACGGGCUCCCCAUCUGGCCCGUCUUAAAACACGAACCAAGGAGUCUAACAUGCAUGUGAGUUAACAGGCCAAGAAACCCGUAAGGCGUAAAGAAGCUGAUUGGUGAGAUCCCUUACAGGUGCACCGUCGAUCGACCUUGAUCUUCUGAGAAGGGUUCAAGUGCGAGCAUGCUCGUCGGGACCCGAAAGAUGGUGAACUAUGCCUGAGUGGAGCGAAGCUAGAGGAAACUAUGAUGGAGGCCCGCAAUGAUACUGACGUGUAAAUCAUUCGUCUGACUUGGGUAUAGGGGCGAAAGACUAAUCGAACCGUCUAGUAGUUGGUUCCCUCCGAAGUUUCCCUCAGGAUAGUUGGAGCCCUCGACGAGUUCUAUCGGGUAAAGCCAAUGAUUAGAGGCAUUGGGGGUGCAACGCCCUCGACCUAUUCUCAAACUUUAAAUAGGUAGGAUGGCAUGACUGCUAAGUUGAGCCAUGCCACGGAAUCAAGUGCUUCAAGUGGGCCAUUUUUGGUAAGCAGAACUGGCGAUGCGAGAUAAACCAAAAGUCGGGUUACGGUGCCCAAUUGCACACUAACCCAAAACCCACAAAGGGUGUUGGUCGAUUAAGAUAGUAAGACAAUGGUCAUGGAAGUCGAAAUCCAUUAAGGAGUGUGUAAAAACUCAUCUACCAAAUCAACUAGCCUCGAAAAUGGAUGGCGCUUAAGCGCGUGACCUAUACUCGAUCGUCGGAUCAAGGGCUAGGCCCUAAUGAGUAGGAGGGCAUGGCGGUCACUGCAAAACUUAGGGCACGAGCCUGGGGGAAGUGACCGUCGGUGUAGAUCUUGGUGGUAGUAGCAAAUAUUCAAAUGAGAACUUUGAAAGCCGAAGAGGGGAAAGGUUCCAUGUGAAUGGCACUUGCACAUGGGUUAGUCGAUCCUAGGAGAUGGGGAAAGCUCGUCCGAUAGUGCAUCCCACGCUAGCUUCGAAAGAAAAUCGGGUUAAAAUUUGUGAACCAGGACGUGGUGGCUGAAGGCAAUGUUAGGGAGUUUGGAGACAUCAAUGGGGGCAUUAGGAAGAGUUAUAUUUUCUGUUUAACGGCUCACCCACCCUGGAAACGGCUCAGUCAGAGGUAGGGUCCAGCGGUCAAAAGAGCAUCACACGUCACGUUGUGUCCAGUGCAACCCUGACGGCCCUUAAAAAUCCAGAGGACUGAGUGCCAUCAGUGCUCAGUCAUACUCAUAACCGCAUCAAGUCUCCAAGGUGAACAGCCUCUGGUCGAUGGAACAAUGUAGUCAAGGGAAGUCAACAAAAUGGAUCCAUAACCUCAGGAAAAAGAUUGGCUCUGAGGGUUGGGCACAAGGGUCCCAGUCCCGAACCCAUCGACUAUCGGUGCACUACUCAAACUACUCCUGUGAUGAGAGCGGGUCAUCGCAUGCCGAUCGGGGGACGAACUAGGAACGGCACCCUCUGAGGCCUUCAUCGAAUGACGAAUAGUCGACUCAGAACUAGUACGGACAAGGGGAAUCUGACUAUUUAAUUAAAACAAAGCAUUGUGAUGGUCCCUGUCGAUGCUCACGCAAUGUGAUUUCUACCCAAUGCUCUGAAUGUCAAAGUGAAGAAGUUCAACCAAGCGCGGGUAAACGGUGGGAGUAACUAUGACUCUUUUAAGGUAACCAAAUGUCUCGUCAUCUAAUUAGUGACGCGCAUGAAUGGAUUAACGAGAUUCCCACUGUUCCUGUCUACUAUCCAGUGGAAACCACAGCCAAAAGAAUGGGCUUGGCGGAAUGAAUGGGAAAGAAGACCCUGUUGAGCUUGACUCUAGUCCGACUUUGUGAAAUGAAUUGAGAGGUGUAGGAUAAGUGGGAGCCCCCGGGCGAAAUUGAAAUACCACUACUUUUAACGUUAUUUUACUUAUUCCGUGAAUCAGAGGUGGGGCACGACCCUUUCUUUUGGACCUAAGGCCGACCACGGUUGGUCGAUCUGGGUGAAAGAUAUUGUCAGGUGGGGAGUUUGGCUGGGGUGGUACAUCUAUUAAAAGAUAACGCGGGUGUCCUAAGAUGAGCUCAAUGAGAACAAAAAUCUCGUGUGGAACAAAAGGGUAAAAGGUCAUUUGAUUCUGAUUUCCAAUAUGAAUAUGAAUACGAAUCAUGAAAGCAUGGCCUAUUGAUCCUUUAGACCUUCAGGAUUUGAAGCUAGAGGUGUCAGAAAAGUUACCACAGGGAUAACUGGCUUGUGGCAUCCAAGUGUUCAUAGCAACAUUACUUUUUAAUCCUUCGAUGUCGGCUCUUCCUAUCAUUGUGAAGCAGAAUUCACCAAGUGUUGGAUUGUUCACCCACCAAUAAGGAACUUGAGCUGGGUUUAGACCGUCAUAAGACAGGUUAGUUUUACCCUACUGAUGGUGGUGUCACGAUAGUAAUUCAACCUUGUACGAGAGGAACCAUUGAUUCGCACAAUUGGUCAUCGUGCUCGGUUGAAAAGCCAGUGGUACGAAGCUACCGUGCAUUGGAUUAUUACUGAAUGCCUCUAAGUUAGAAUCUGGGCUAAGAGUGAUGCACGCUCCCACCGCCCGAUUGCCGACCCGUAGUAGGGGCCCAUAGCCCCCAAGGGCACAUGUCGUAGGUGCAGCCAUCAUGGCAGACGAGCUGCACUAGUCUCUUUGGAACUCAAUUC
rnacentral:rRNA from 1 species